rnacentral:rRNA from 1 species
GACGUAGGGCGCGAGCGUUUGUCCGGAUUUAUUGGGCGUAAAGAGCUCGUAGGCGGCUUGUCGCGUCGUCUGUGAAAUCCCGCGGCUCAACCGCGGGUCUGCAGUCGAUACGGGCAGGCUAGAGUUCGGUAGGGGGAGACUGGAAUUCCUGGUGUAGCGGUGAAAUGCGCAGAUAUCAGGAGGAACACCGGUGGCGAAGGCGGGUCUCUGGGCCGAUACUGACGCUGAGACGCGAAAGCGUGGGGGAGCAAACAGG